rnacentral:rRNA from 1 species
CCUACGGGAGGCAGCAGUGAGGAAUAUUGGUCAAUGGGCGCGAGCCUGAACCAGCCAAGUAGCGUGAAGGAUGAAUGUCCUACGGAUUGUAAACUUCUUUUAUAAGGGAAUAAAGUGAGGCACGUGUGCCUGUUUGUAUGUACUUUAUGAAUAAGGAUCGGCUAACUCCGUGCCAGCAGCCGCGGUAAUACGGAGGAUCCGAGCGUUAUCCGGAUUUAUUGGGUUUAAAGGGUGCGUAGACGGGUUGUUAAGUCAGCUGUGAAAGUUUGCGGCUCAACCGUAAGAUUGCAGUUGAUACUGGCAGUCUUGAGUUCAGGUGAGGUAGGCGGAAUUCGUGGUGUAGCGGUGAAAUGCUUAGAUAUCACGAAGAACUCCGAUUGCGAAGGCAGCUUAC